AGGUUAAGUUAACAAGGGCGCAUGGUGAAUGCCUUGGCACUAGGAGCCGAUGAAGGACGGGACUAACACCGAUAUGCUUCGGGGAGCUGUACGUAAGCUAUGAUCCGGAGAUUUCCGAAUGGGGCAACCCAGCAGUUUUAAUCAACUGUUACCACUAGAUGAAUUCAUAGUCUAGUUGGAGGUAAACGCUGUGAACUGAAACAUCUCAUUAGCAGCAGGAAUAUAAAGAAAUUUCGAUUCCCUAAGUAGCGGCGAGCGAACGGGGAACAGCCCAAACCAAAGUGCUUGCACUUUGGGGUUGUAGGACUGAACAUUUGAGUUACCAAAGAACUUGAUAGUCGAAGGAUUUGGGAAAAUCCGCCAUAGAUGGUGAUAGCCCAGUAGAUUAAAUCAAAUUCUCUCAGUUCAGGAUCCUGAGUACGGCGGAACACGUGAAAUUCCGUCGGAAUCCGGGAGGACCAUCUCCCAAGGCUAAAUACUACCUAGUGACCGAUAGUGAACCAGUACCGUGAGGGAAAGGUGAAAAGCACCCCGGGAGGGGAGUGAAAUAGUUCCUGAAACCAUGUGCCUACAAUAAGUCAGAGCGCGUUAAUGCGUGAUGGCGUGCCUUUUGUAGAAUGAACCGGCGAGUUAUGAUCCCGUGCAAGGUUAAGACUAAAAAGUCGGAGCCGUAGCGAAAGCGAGUCUGAAAUGGGCGUUUUGAGUACGAGGUUAUAGACCCGAAACCAGGUGACCUAUCCAUGUCCAGGUUGAAGGUGCGGUAAAACGCACUGGAGGACCGAACCCGUGUAAGUUGAAAAUUGCUGGGAUGAGGUGUGGAUAGCGGUGAAAUUCCAAACGAACUUGGAGAUAGCUGGUUCUCUCCGAAAUAGCUUUAGGGCUAGCCUCGGAAUUAGGAUCAUGGAGGUAGAGCACUAUUUGGACUAGGGGCCCGUCUUGGGUUACUGAAUUCAGAUAAACUCCGAAUGCCAUUGAUUCAUAUCCGGGAGUCAGACGAUGAGUGAUAAGAUCCACCGUCGAAAGGGGAACAGCCCAGACCAUCAGUUAAGGUCCCUAAAUGUAUGCUAAGUGGAAAAGGAUGUGGAGUUGCAUAGACAACUAGGAUGUUGGCUCAGAAGCAGCCACCAUUUAAAGAGUGCGUAAUAGCUCACUAGUCGAGUGAUCCUGCGCCGAAAAUGUACCGGGGCUAAGCAUACUACCGAAACCAUGGAUGCGACCAUUAGGUCGCGUGAUAGGAGAGCGUUCUAAGGGCGGUGAAGCAAGAUCGUGAGGACUUGUGGAGCGCUUAGAAGUGAGAAUGCCGGUAUGAGUAGCGAAAGAUAGGUGAGAAUCCUAUCCACCGAAUGACUAAGGUUUCCUGGGGAAGGCUCGUCCUCCCAGGGUUAGUCGGGACCUAAGUCGAGGCCGAGAGGCGUAGACGAUGGAUAACAGGUUGAGAUUCCUGUACUAGUUAAGUGCGUUUGAGCAAUGGAGGGACGCAGGAGGCUAAGAUGUGCAUUCUGUUGGAUUAGAAUGUCCAAGCAGUAAGUCUUGUGAAGAGUCAAAUGCUUUUCACUUUAAGGACAAGCUGUGAUGGGGAGCGAAAUUUAGUAGCGAAGCGUCUGAUGUCACACUGCCGAGAAAAGCUUCUAGUGAGUACUUAACUACCCGUACCGCAAACCGACACAGGUAGUCGAGGAGAGAAUCCUAAGGUGAGCGAGUGAACUCUCGUUAAGGAACUCGGCAAAAUGACCCGUAACUUCGGGAGAAGGGGUGCUGAUCGCAAGAUCAGCCGCAGUGAAUAGGCCCAGGCGACUGUUUAUCAAAAACACAGGUCUCUGCAAAAUCGUAAGAUGACGUAUAGGGGCUGACGCCUGCCCGGUGCUGGAAGGUUAAAAGGAUGGGUUAGCUUCGGCGAAGCUCAGAAUUGAAGCCCCAGUAAACGGCGGCCGUAACUAUAACGGUCCUAAGGUAGCGAAAUUCCUUGUCGGGUAAGUUCCGACCCGCACGAAAGGCGUAACGAUCUGGGCACUGUCUCAACGAGAGACUCGGUGAAAUUAUAUUGUCCGUGAAGAUGCGGACUACCCGCGACAGGACGGAAAGACCCCAUGGAGCUUUACUGUAGCUUGAUAUUGAGUGUUUGUACAGCUUGUACAGGAUAGGUAGGAGCCAUAGAAACCGGAACGCUAGUUUCGGUGGAGGCGUUGGUGGGAUACUACCCUCGCUGUAUGACCACUCUAACCCGCACCACUAAUCGUGGUGGGAGACAGUGUCAGGUGGGCAGUUUGACUGGGGCGGUCGCCUCCUAAAAAGUAACGGAGGCGCCCAAAGGUUCCCUCAGAAUGGUUGGAAAUCAUUCGCAGAGUGUAAAGGCACAAGGGAGCUUGACUGCGAGACAGACAGGUCGAGCAGGGACGAAAGUCGGGCUUAGUGAUCCGGUGGUACCGUAUGGAAGGGCCAUCGCUCAACGGAUAAAAGCUACCCUGGGAUAACAGGCUUAUCUCCCCCAAGAGUCCACAUCGACGGGGAGGUUUGGCACCUCGAUGUCGGCUCAUCGCAUCCUGGGGCUGUAGUCGGUCCCAAGGGUUGGGCUGUUCGCCCAUUAAAGCGGUACGCGAGCUGGGUUCAGAACGUCGUGAGACAGUUCGGUCCCUAUCCGUCGCGGGCGUAGGAAAUUUGAGAGGACCUGUCCUUAGUACGAGAGGACCGGGAUGGACAUACCUCUGGUGUACCAGUUGUGCCGCCAGGCGCAUCGCUGGGUAGCUACGUAUGGAUGUGAUAAACGCUGAAAGCAUCUAAGUGUGAAACACACCUCGAGAUGAGAUUUCCCAUUCCUUUAUGGAAGUAAGACCCCUGAAAGAUGAUCAGGUAGAUAGGUUAGAAGUGGCAGUGCGGUGACGCAUGAAGCGGACUAAUACUAAUCGGUCGAGGACUUAACCAAG
rnacentral:rRNA from 2 species